AGAGACAGCAGUCGCCGCGGUAAAACGGAGGGUGCAAGCGUUAAUCGGAAUUACUGGGCGUAAAGCGCACGCAGGCGGUCUGACAAGUCAGAUGUGAAAUCCCCGGGCUUAACCUGGGAACUGCAUUUGAAACUGUCAGGCUGGAGUCUUGUAGAGGGGGGUGGAAUUCCAGGUGUAGCGGUGAAAUGCGUAGAGAUCUGGAGGAAUACCGGUGGCGAAGGCGGCCCCCUGGACAAAGACUGACGCUCAGGUGCGAAAGCGUGGGAGCAAACAGGAUUAGAGACCCCAGUAGUCCCUGUCUCUUAUACA
rnacentral:rRNA from 1 species